rnacentral:rRNA from 1 species
CAACAUGACUCUCGGCAACGGAUAUCUCGGCUCUCGCAUCGAUGAAGAACGUAGCAAAAUGCGAUACCUGGUGUGAAUUGCAGAAUCCCGUGAACCAUCGAGUUUUUGAACGCAAGUUGCGCCCGAAGCCUUCUGGCUGAGGGCACGUCUGCCUGGGCGUCACG